rnacentral:lncRNA from 1 species
AGGGACUUCCCUGGUGGUCCAGUGGCCAAGACUCCGGGCUCCCAAUGCAGAGGGCCCGGGUUUGAUCCCUUGUCAGGGAACUAGGUACCACAUGCCACAACUAGGGGUUUGUAUGCUGCACCUAAAGCUCCUGUUGGCCACAACCAAGACUGCACGCUUGGUGUGCUGCAACUAAGACAAGUUGCAGCCAAAUAAAUAAAUAUUAAAAAACCUAACACAACUCACUCUAACCUCUUAAAAAAAAAAGGAUUUCUCUGAGUGGAGAAGGGACUGAUGGAGAGUGAAUAUGAAUGAACCAAGGUGGAGAUUCUGAAGAUGGAGAAGCUUUAGUCAUAUGAAAAAUGGGUGCAGAAAAGGGCUUCAGAUUUGUGGGCUGCUGACUCCAGCUGGACAAGUCACCUGGAGAGGAAAUGACUCCUCAGAUGCCUCCUCGGGGCCUGGCACAGUGCACGUUUCAUGCAUAGGGAGGUGCUUUUGUUUAAUUAUUAAAUUUGUUUCCUGUUUGUGCCCUUCUUUCUCACAGAGGGAUCCUCACGGCCUCUGGCCUGGGUGGUUCUGGCCAUCUCCUGAUCAGCCUCUUACACAUAGGUCUCGUCUCCUCCAGCCCAUCCUAAGUCAGCUGGAGCUGGGGAGAGCAGAGAAUCCGGAGGUAUGGUUUAAAGGGUAUAGGCUUUCAGACUUACAAGAUGAAAAGCAUUACGUGAUGGAUGGUGGUGAUGGCUCCACCACAAUGCAAAUGUUUUUAAUAUUACUGAACUGUACACUUAAAAUGGUUAAGAUGGUGUGUUUUAUGUUAUGUGUAUUUUAUAACAGUAAAACUUUGAAAAAGUCAGCUCUAGUCAGGCCACUCCCCUGCUCAAGUAUCAGCCAGCUGCAGAGCCCAGAACCUGCACCGAAGGUCAUCGCCACGUGGCCACUGCCCCUGACUUCCUCUGUUCCUCACCCUCAUUCCUGGCCCUGCUCUCUGCCAGGGCAGACACUACUGGAGGAACUCAGAGAGGCUUUAGAACUGAUGAAUGCAGGAGGAACAGCUAUUCUUGUGUGUGGCUUGUAA